UUCGGGUUGGAAAUAUAAAAAUGGACAUUGGUAUUGGGACAAUACUGCUAGGAAACUAGCAUUUGAGAAAAUUAAUACUUCCAUUGAGCCAGCAAGAAGAGCAACAAUUGAAAAUGUAGUUACUUCAAAACAUUCAAUGCCCUUCCAAGCGUUAAUAUCACAACAAAAAACAUUAGGAUGUACACAUGAACAUUUAAUUCUACAUUUUAAAGAAACUGUAGAUUCUUUGGAUCAGGUGCGUUUUCGACGUUAUCAUAGAAGAAAAACAGCACCGCAAGAACCGG